UUGAAGAGCAAGGGUGCUCUUCUCCCUGCUGAUGCCUCUGCUGACGUCAAUGGCAUUCUUAUCAUGCUUAGCGCGACAUCAGAAACCAACCCUCAGAGGCUACUCUUGUUCAGAGCACUUGGGCUUCUGAUAAUCUCCGGACUGGAUCCUGCUCUAGCAGAAGGGAUUGCACAGACUGCUGUAGUCUCUAGUUUCUGCGGACACAGGGUAACUAAAUUUGGAGCUCAGAUGUACUUGCAGCAAUACAAUUUGUUUUCCUUGAAAACAGGAUCGGCAGGUCUGGGAGAGUAGAUGACGUUGACUAUUUAAUGAGCAUUCAUCCUGAUUUGUUUGCAGGGAGGGCGGCUGGGAGCACUCCCUCUCACAAAGACACAGUGACCACACCCUGGAUCCACUCAGUCAUAUCCCCUUGGCAAGCUUUAAUAAGCCAAGAGGGUCAAGAAGAUAUGUUGUUGAUCACAUUGUUGCAAGUACCUUAUCCGUGUCAUCAGGCUGCAUCAACUGAAACUGAUCCCAGGAAGUUGCAGCAGACAUUGCACUGGACACCUCAAUGGGGACUACAGUAGAUGUGGAUGGGGCAUCAAGAUUGCUACAGAGGUGAGCCUUGCAAACAAUUUAUAGUGGGCUUCCGAAGGGUCUAAAUCUCCAUUUCCUGGAGUAGAUGUUAACAGACUCUGGACAAUAUGAAAAGGUUUUGAUAACUGGUAUAUUGAAAGUUGUGUAAUUGAUAUUUUAAAUAGUUAAAUUAUGGUUUGAUUUUGUUCUUAGCUCUCUUGAGCUCUUUAUGAGAAAAGGUGGGGAGCAUAUGUUUUAAAUAAAUGAAAUGUUUACACCCUGUUAGGAUCUAAACCCUAUUCAGGCAUGCUGCUCAUACAUAAAGGCUAUGGGCAAGAAGGGGAAGUGGGGACAAGCACACUAUGCUCCCCCACCCUUGUGAAUUGGGGGGUGAAGUUUAAAGCAGGAACUGUCCUCUGCCAUUAGAGGAGAACCUGUUUGAUGGUGGUGCCAAAUCUGUGGAAAGCCUGUGCUGGGGAGACUCAUUAGCUAAAUGUUCACAGCCUAUUUAUUCAAGCCAAAUUUUAAUGUCUGAGAGAUUUGUUGACUCCUAUAUAAUGCAUACACUGGAAUUGGGUAUAUUGUUUUUAUGUUUUUGUUUGUAUUUACAGUUUUUAAUGACUGAUGCUGUUAUAUAUUGUAUUUGGAGGGCUUAUGAGUUUCUGUGAAUAUAUUUAACUGAG